GACGAACGCUGGCGGCGUGCUUAACACAUGCAAGUCGAACGGAAAGGCCCUGCUUUUGUGGGGUGCUCGAGUGGCGAACGGGUGAGUAACACGUGAGUAACCUGCCCUUGACUUUGGGAUAACUUCAGGAAACUGGGGCUAAUACCGGAUAGGAGCUCCUGCUGCAUGGUGGGGGUUGGAAAGUUUCGGCGGUUGGGGAUGGACUCGCGGCUUAUCAGCUUGUUGGUGGGGUAGUGGCUUACCAAGGCUUUGACGGGUAGCCGGCCUGAGAGGGUGACCGGCGACAUUGGGACUGAGAUACGGCCCAGACUCCUACGGGAGGCAGCAGUGGGAAAUAUUGCACAAUGGGCGGAAGCCUGAUGCAGCAACGCCGCGUGCGGGAUGACGGCCUUCGGGUUGUAAACCGCUUUCGCCUGUGACGAAGCGUGAGUGACGGUAAUGGGUAAAGAAGCACCGGCUAACUACGUG
rnacentral:rRNA from 1 species